rnacentral:rRNA from 1 species
AGGGUUAACGCUGGCGGCGUGCCUAACACAUGCAAGUCGAACGAGGUAGCAAUACCUAGUGGCAGACGGGUGAGUAACGCGUGGUCAACCUACCGUUGAGUGGGGGAUAACUAGCCGAAAGGUUAGCUAAUACCGCAUACGUCUCCGAGGGGCAUCCCUUGGCGAUAAAAGGAGCAAUCCGCUCGAUGACGGGACCGCGUCCCAUUAGCUAGAUGGUGGGGUAACGGCCUACCAUGGCACCGAUGGGUAGCUGGUUUUGAGAGAGCGACCAGCCACACUGGGACUGAGAAACGGCCCAGACUCCUACGGGAGGCAGCAGUGAGGAAUUUUCCGCAAUGGGCGCAAGCCUGACGGAGCGACGCCGCGUGUGGGAAGAAGGCCUUCGGGUCGUAAACCACGUGUCGGAAGGGGACGAUAAUGACGGUACCCUUGGAGGAGCCCGGCUAACUACGCGCCAGCAGCCGC